rnacentral:rRNA from 1 species
UCCCUGAGGGUUUGAUCCUGGCUCAGGGCGAACGCUAGCGGCGCGCCUAACACAUGCAAGUCGUGCGGGAAAGGGCUUCGGCCCUAGUACCGCGGCAGACGGGUGAGUAACACGUGAGCAACCUGUCCUCGGGUCUGGGAUAACCACCCGAAAGGGUGGCUAAUACCGGAUAAAGUCACCGAACGCAAGUUUGGUGAUGAAAGGGGGCCUCUGCAUAGCAAGCUCCUGCCUGAGGAGGGGCUCGCGGCCCAUCAGCUAGUUGGUGGGGUAACGGCCCACCAAGGCUAUGACGGGUAGCCGGCCUGAGAGGGUGGUCGGCCACACGGGCACUGAGACACGGGCCCGACUCCUACGGGAGGCAGCAGUGGGGAAUCUUGGGCAAUGGGCGAAAGCCUGACCCAGCGACGCCGCGUGGGGGAAGAAGGCCUUCGGGUCGUAAACCCCUGUUCUGGGGGAAGAACCCUGAUUGGGUUAAUAGCCCAAUCAGGCUGACGGUACCUCAGGAGAAAGCCACGGCUAACUGCGUGCCAGCAGCCGCGGUAAUACGCAGGUGGCGAGCGUUGCCCGGAAUUACUGGGCGUAAAGGGUGCGUAGGCGGCUGGACAAGUCGCAGGUUAAAGCCCGGGGCUCAACCCCGGAAAGGCCUGCGAUACUGUCUGGCUUGAGGGCUGGAGAGGCUGACGGAAUUCCCGGUGUAGGGGUGAAAUCCGUAGAUAUCGGGAGGAACACCGGAGGGGAAGCCGGUCAGCUGGACAGCCCCUGACGCUGAGGCACGAAAGCGUGGGGAGCAAACCGGAUUAGAUACCCGGGUAGUCCACGCCGUAAACGAUGGGUGCUAGGUCUGGGGAGGUAAUCUCUCCGGGCCGAAGCUAACGCGUUAAGCACCCCGCCUGGGGAGUACGGCCGCAAGGCUGAAACUCAAAGGAAUUGACGGGGGCCCGCACAAGCGGUGGAGCACGUGGUUUAAU